UACGUGAAACCGUUUAGGGGUAAACCUGAGAAACCCGAAAGAUCGAAUGAGGAGAUUCAUCGUCAGCGGGGCUGGCUUCCAUGUGGUGCGCGAUGUUUGAGACGGCGCGUUCACGCGUGCUCGUUGAUUUCACGCGUCCGCUGUGGUAUGAGUCCGGCAACGUCGGCGUGCACUUCUCCUCUAGUAGAACGUCGCGACCCGCUGGGUGUCGGUUUAAGGAUCGAGGUCGUCGCCUGUUCCGUCGCGUUUCGGCGCGUUCGGUCACAGACGCUCGAAUUCCCGACCGGCUGCCCGGCGGUAGCACCGUCAAGGUAUCGAGCCGCACUCGAAUGCGUUCCACAGACCCGUCGCAAGCUCGACCAGCUUUCGAACUUUAUUGUCCGGAUGUGCGGACCUAGCGCCGUACCCGGGGCUGGUUGGCUGUUGGUCGACGGUGUUCUCGAACUGGCUAACAUUGUUGUUUAAUUUAACGAUACCGGUCAGCGACGCUAUUGCUUUGGGUACUUUCAGGACCCGUCUUGAAACACGGACCAAGGAGUCUAACAUGUGCGCGAGUCAUUGGGACAUUGAAACCUAAAGGCGCAUUGAAAGAGAAGAUCGGCCUCGCGCCGAUUGAGGGAGGAUGGGCGGCGUUUCGAUGCCGCUCCGCACUCCCGGGGCGUCUCAACAAGUCAUUGCGACUUGAGGCGCACCCAGAGCGUACACGUUGGGACCCGAAAGAUGGUGAACUAUGCCUGGUCAGGACGAAGUCAGGGGAAA
rnacentral:rRNA from 1 species